rnacentral:misc_RNA from 1 species
AACGCACAUUGCGCCCUCUGGUAUUCCGGGGGGCAUGCCUGUCCGAGCGUCAUUGCAAAAUUCAAGCCUGGCUUGGUGUUGGGCGUCGCACCUUGGGGCGUGCCUGAAAAUUAGCGGCGGUGCGACCGGUGAUCGAGCGUAGUAGUUACUCCCGCUUCGAGACACCCCGGGCGUGUCAGCCGGGCAACCACCAUUUCUCCACGGUUGACCUCGGAUCAGGUAGGGAUACCCGCUGAACUUAA